rnacentral:rRNA from 1 species
AUUGAACGCUAGCGGGAUGCUUUACACAUGCAAGUCGAACGAGUGGCGGACGGGUGAGUAAUAUAUCGGAACGUGCCCAGUAGCGGGGGAAAAUUCUCGGAAGGGGUGGCAAUACCCCAUACCAUUGGAGCGGCCGGUAUCGGAUUUGUUAGUUGGUGGGGGAAAGGCUCACCAAGGCAACGAUCCGUAGCUGGUUUGAGAGGACGAACAGCCACACUGGGACUGAGACACGGCCCAGACUCCUACGGGAGGCAGCAGUGGGGAAUUUUGGACAAUGGGGGAAACCCUGAUCCAGCCAUCCCGCGUGUAUGAGAAGGCCUUCGGGUUGUAAAGUACUUUUGGCAGGGAAGCGGUAUCUGCAGAAUAAGCACCGGCUAACUACGUGCCAGCAGCCGCGGUAAUAC